rnacentral:lncRNA from 1 species
AAUUUAUAGGCUAGAUACAAUUAACCAUUACUUAUUUAUACUUAAUUUAUCAAACUGUCUAUCAGUAGAAGUUGAAGAAGCUGGACCAAAUUGGGGGAGCAGAGAAAACUAUUAGCAGGAAAGACACAGAUUUCUCACUCCUUGAUUUCCGAGCUUCAUACGUGGAAAUGGAUGUCCAACUGUGGUGCUGGCUGUCAUCGUUCUUUCUACUGAAUUCCAAGGUUACCCUGUCCUAAAUCCUAUACAUGCAUUCCAAGAUCCCCUACGACUACGACACCUUUGAUCAUCCUCAGGUAAAACAAUAUUGCAGGCCAAUGUUAUUAUUAAAACCCAUACAUCAAUGAGCUUUACUCUGUUUUGACUAAGAAGAAACCACACAUCCUUC